rnacentral:misc_RNA from 1 species
CCGAGUUUACAACUCCCAAACCCCCUGUGAACAUACCACUUGUUGCCUCGGCGGAUCAGCCCGCUCCCGGUAAAACGGGACGGCCCGCCAGAGGACCCCUAAACUCUGUUUCUAUAUGUAACUUCUGAGUAAAAACCAUAAAUAAAUCA